UAGGGAAUCUUCCACAAUGGACGCAAGUCUGAUGGAGCAACGCCGCGUGAGUGAAGAAGGUUUUCGGAUCGUAAAGCUCUGUUGUUGGUGAAGAAGGAUAGAGGCAGUAACUGGUCUUUAUUUGACGGUAAUCAACCAGAAAGUCACGGCUAACUACGUGCCAGCAGCCGCGGUAAUACGUAGGUGGCAAGCGUUGUCCGGAUUUAUUGGGCGUAAAGCGAGCGCAGGCGGAAUGAUAAGUCUGAUGUGAAAGCCCACGGCUCAACCGUGGAACUGCAUCGGAAACUGUCAUUCUUGAGUGCAGAAGAGGAGAGUGGAACUCCAUGUGUAGCGGUGGAAUGCGUAGAUAUAUGGAAGAACACCAGUGGCGAAGGCGGCUCUCUGGUCUGCAACUGACGCUGAGGCUCGAAAGCAUGGGUAGCGAACAGGAUUAGAUACCCUGGUAGUCCAUGCCGUAAACGAUGAGCGCUAGGUGUUGGGGACUUUCCGGUUCUCAGUGCCGCAGCAAACGCA
rnacentral:rRNA from 1 species